rnacentral:lncRNA from 1 species
GGUAACGCCCACAAACAUAUUUCUCCGUAUACUCUCCGUCUGAGUACGUAAUCUUUAACCACGUGCUCCUACUCAAAAUGAAGAUAGCCAUAGAGGGUUGCUGUCAUGGGAAGUUAGACCUUAUUUAUGAUAAACUACUCAAACUCCAAGAGAGAGAAGGAAUUAAAAUAGAUCUAUUACUCUGUUGUGGUGAUUUCCAAGCAAUUAGAGAUCAAGAUGAUCUUAACUGUAUGGCAGUCCCUGACAAGUAUAAGGAAAUUGGAUCCUUCCACAAAGUAAAUAGAUAAAUGAUGAUACCAUUGGUACAUAAUAACUAAUUAAUACUGAGGGG